GGGUCAGUAGGUUGGUCGUGCCACCGGUACGUACUGGUCCCACUGAUUCCUCCUUCCUGAAGAACCGUAAUGCCAUUAAUUUGGUGUUGCGGGGAAACAGGACUGUUACUUUGAAAAAAUUAGAGUGUUUAAAGCAAGCUAACGCUUGAAUACAUUAGCAUGGAAUAAUGAAAUAGGACGAUCGAUCCUAUUUUGUUGGUUUCUAGGAUUGACGUA
rnacentral:rRNA from 1 species